rnacentral:rRNA from 1 species
GACGAACGCUGGCGGCGUGCUUAACACAUGCAAGUCGAACGGAAAGGCCCUGCUUUUGUGGGGUUCUCGAGUGGCGAACGGGUGAGUAACACGUGAGUAACCUGCCCUUGACUUUGGGAUAACUUCAGGAAACUGGGGCUACUACCGGAUAGGAGCUCCUGCUGCAUGGUGGGGGUUGGAAAGUUUCGGCGGUUGGGGAUGGACUCGCGGCUUAUCAGCUUGUUGGUGGGGUAGUGGCUUACCAAGGCUUUGACGGGUAGCCGGCCUGAGAGGGUGACCGGCCUCAUUGGGACUGAGAUACGGCCCAGACGCCUACGGGAGGCAGCAGUGGGGAAUAUUGCACAAUGGGCGGAAGCCUGAUGCAGCAACGCCGCGUGCGGGAUGACGGCCUUCGGGUUGUAAACCGCUUUCGCCUGUGACGAAGCGUGAGUGACGGUAAUGGGUAAAGAAGCACCGGCUAACUACGUG